rnacentral:tRNA from 1 species
GGAGAGAUGCCAGAGCGGUCGAAUGGGACGGUCUCGAAAACCGUUGUAGCCCUUGUGGCUACCGUGGGUUCGAAUCCCACUCUCUCCGCCA